CAGCCGCCACGGUAAUACGUAGGGUGCGAGCGUUAAUCGGAAUUACUGGGCGUAAAGCGUGCGCAGGCGGUUGUGUAAGACAGGUGUGAAAUCCCCGGGCUUAACCUGGGAGCUGCGCUUGUGACUGCACAGCUAGAGUAUGGCAGAGGGGGGUGGAAUUCCACGUGUAGCAGUGAAAUGCGUAGAGAUGUGGAGGAACACCGAUGGCGAAGGCAGCCCCCUGGGCCAAUACUGACGCUCAUGCACGAAAGCGUGGGGAGCAAACAGGAUUAGAUACCCCUGUAGUCCCUGUCUCUUAUAC
rnacentral:rRNA from 1 species